rnacentral:rRNA from 1 species
AAAAACUGAGGUGGUAUACGAUGGUUCCGCGUCUGAUUAGCUAGUUGGUGGGGUAAAAGCCUACCAAGGCAACGAUCAGUAGCCGGCCUGAGAGGGUGAACGGCCACAUUGGGACUGAGACACGGCCCAAACUCCUACGGGAGGCAGCAGUGGGGAAUAUUGCACAAUGGGGGAAACCCUGAUGCAGCGACGCCGCGUGAGUGAAGAAGUAUUUCGGUAUGUAAAGCUCUAUCAGCAGGGAAGAAAUACUGACCAUAGGGUCAGCAGACGGUACUUGACUAAGAAGCCCCGGCUAACUACGUGCCAGCAGCCGCGGUAAUACGUAGGGGGCAAGCGUUAUCCGGAUUUACUGGGUGUAAAGGGAGCGUAGACGGCAGCGCAAGUCUGAAGUGAAAUGCCAGGGCUUAACCCCGGAACUGCUUUGGAAACUGUGCAGCUAGAGUGCAGGAGAGGUAAGUGGAAUUUCUAGUGUAGCGGUGAAAUGCGUAGAUAUUAGGAGGAACACCAGUGGCGAAGGCGGCUUACUGGACUGUAACUGACGUUGAGGCUCGAAAGCGUGGGGAGCAAACAGGAUUAGAUACCCUGGUAGUCCACGCUGUAAACG